GGUUGAAUUGUAACAUGGAUACAUUUUGGACUGGAUGCCAGCCACUUGAAUAAGGACUGCAUCUGAGCUGCAAGCGGAAGACACAGUAGAUGUGACAUUGACUGUGAACUGCACAUGAAGCAAGUGCAACCUCAGGCCUGCCUUGCUUCAGAAGACGUAAGGUAAAAAUGGCAUGGCUCAGAAUCGCCCAGAUCUUUCACGAUCUCUCAACCGCCUCCUGUCACGCUCCCGUCCGCCGCCGCCGCCUGGGCCACCGCCACCGCCACCGCCACCGCCAUCGCCAUGACCACGGUCUCCAGACCGAGAAUGACGCUCCCGGGAUCGGGAUCUUGAUCUAUGCUUCUUGCGACGCUGCCCACACAGCUCCCGCCGCAGCUCUCUGGAAAUGGGCUUCAAAUGCAUGAAGUUGCAGAAGCCGCCUCGUGUGCAUUCUCCCAUCUCAUACUGACGGCAGCAGGCUCCCCUGAAGUCCGUCACAGGUGACAGCUCGGCGUGGAUCGGCUGUCCGUUAAACCAACGGUUGUUCAAGUCAAUCACAGCCUUUUCCGCAUCUUCCUCACGGGGAAGCUUGAAGUACACGUUCCCCACCAGGUGGUCUCCCAGGUUGUCACAGACAUUCAUCUCCUCAACUUCCCCAUACUUCUCCCCCAGUUCUAUAAAAACCUCCUCAAAAAAUUCAUCAGAGUGUUCCUGCACCUCAACAUCGCUCAGGGCACAGCGCAAACCGUCGGCCGACUGGGAAGCGUUUUGAGGGUUACAGUAAAUGUUCAAGAGGGCAAUGGUCUGGCUAAACGUCGGUUUAUGGUGCAACCAAGAGCACCUGUCUCCAUGAAGACAUGCUCCAAUUUUGAAAUCAAAUGAACAGUUGACUUUCUCGGUGCCAAAGAUGGAGGCUGGACACUCCGCCAUUUCCCACCCGCCGCCGCCCCUGCUGACGCCCGCGGGAGACCUGUGGAGAAUCUUAACUGCUGGAUUGAAUAUGUCAUAUUCUUCCUUUAAAAAUCCACCAAAGGCCCCGAAGUAAUGGACGUGUUUUUAAUCAAUCUAAUACAUAAAUCAUGCAUCAGAUAUACUUCAAAACAGAGCAGCUAGCAGAACACCUUGAAAGAUUCAUUAGAAUAUUUUUUUUUUUUUUACAGACAUGCAACUAAGUUAAAUAAAUGUGUGUCAACUCAAAACUGAGAUGAGAAACGGCAGGGUGCUUCAUAGAUUGAGACUCAAGAACAUGGGAAUUCUAAUCUUGUCUCUGUUACUGACUGGUUUAAUGACUUUAGUAAUGUUUAUGACAUAUUUCUAACUACUCUUCCUUUGGCCAAAACCCAGAACAACGUGUAAUAGAGCAUUUUGAGCUUCUAAGAAAAUGGCCCUAUUUCAGUUGACAGCAGUAAAGCAUUGUAUUUAUAAAUGUGGAGUUAGCUUGGAUUCAAAUCCUGGUCCCACCACAGCUUGCUACUUAACCUCGGGUUAAUCCCCUACUGAAGAGCAUUAGGUGGUCUUUUGCUAUUGUAUAUAAUACUACAAUGGGCAACUUUUUACAUAUACAUAUAUUUAUGCAUUUAAAUAAUUUUAAAUAUGUAUAUAUACACACACACACACACACACACACAUAUAUAUAUAUAUAUACACACACACACAUACCCAAAAGUAGACUUCUUCAAUCUAAGAUUAGGUAAAUUUUAUUUUAUGUUAUUUUAUUUUAUUUAUGUUUAUUUCGAGAUAGAGUCUCGCUCUGUUGCCCAGGCUGGAGUGCAGCGGCACGAGCUCAGCUCACUGCAACUCCACCUCCAGGGUUCAAGCAAUUCUCCCUGCCUCAGCCUUCCGAGUAGCUGGGAUUACAGGCACCUGUCACCACGCCUAGCUGAUUUUUGUAUUUUUUAGUAGAGAUGGGCUUUCACCAUGUUGGCCAGGAUGGUCUUGAACUCCUUACCUCAGGUGAUCCACCCACCUAGGCCUCUCAAAAUGCUGGGAUUACAAGCGUGCACCACCACACCUGGCCAGAUUAGGUGAAUUUUAAAUUUUCAUAUAUAUUGCUAAAUAGCCCUCCAAAGUCAUUAUACCAGAUUUGUACUCCCACCAGCUGUGUAUAUAGGUUCCUAGUUCCCUAUACCUUUCCCCACACUGUUAACUGGCAAUUUUAAUGUUUAAAAUUUUUCAUCAGUCUCAGAGUGGAAAGACAGAAUCUCAUUUUUUAUUUUCUCACCUUUAAUUUUAAGUAAAGAUUGGCAUCUUUCCAUAUUUUAGUAGCUAUUUAUUAAGUAUAAAGAUCCCAUUCCCAAUUUUCUGUUAGGUAUUUUGUCUUUUGCUUAUUGGUUUGCAAAGCUCUCAGUUAUUAAGAUCUUUGUGAAACAGAAGAUUUGGAAAGCAAUUUUGAUUAACUUCAAUCAUGAAGGAUAGUUUAUAAAUUUGAAAACUUUAUUGCACUUGGCAUUACUGCCUGAGAAAGAGCAAAACCUCCCCAGACAUGAACAGUGAAAAUCCUUAGCUAUGUAUUACCAGAGUUAUUACCAUAAUAAUCAUUGAAAUAAUUUAUAUUAUAUGUAAAGAAAAAUGCAAAGAGGGGCCAGGCACAGUGGCUCACGCCUGUAAUCCAAGCACUUUGGGAAGCAGAGGCAGGUGGAGUGCUUCAGUCCAGGAGUUUGAGACCAGCCUGGGCCACAUGUUGAAAACCCAUCUCUACCAAAAAUACAGAAAAAUUAGCUGGGCAUGGUGGCACACAUCUGUAGUCCCAGCUACUCAGGAGGCUGAGUUGGGAGGAUCACCUGAGCCCAGGGAGGUUGAGGCUGCAGUGAGCCAUGAUUGCACCAUUGCACUCCAGCCUGGGCAACAGAGUGAGACUCCAUCUCAAAAGAAAAGUAAGAAAGAAAAAUAUCAGUAAAUCUAAGAUGUGAUCCCUGCCUUUAAAAAGUUUAUAGUAAAAGACAUAGAACACAUUCACAUGAAAUGCUGAGACAACACAAGGAACUAGUGAUGCAGGUCAUAAACGCUACAGCCUACCUCCAGUUGGAGUGAUUAAAGAAUGUUACUUAAAAGAAAACACAUGUUUGAAUAGGCAGAAAGGUUCAGAAGAACAAAGGUAUGAAUCAAGUGAGAGAGACAGUAAAUAGACAAAGGUAAAUGGAUUAGAGGCUUGUAUGGGGGACAGGGGAAAAGUUCAGCCAUGGAAAGGUAGAUUGGGGUCAAAUUACUGAAGGCCUUGGCUGUCUGAUUUAGCUUGCAUUUUAUGGUGAAGGAGCAACAAUGUUUUCAAGACUAUUGACCUAAUAAAAUGAGCUUUUAAUGAUAAUUUUGCCAUGUGAAUAAUAAAGGAUGAAUAAAAAAUAUUGUGCUGGGAAAGGGAAUAACUAAUAUAUUCAUACUUUCUAUGGGAGAAAAUCAACUAGUUUAAAGGAAAAGGAGCAUGUAUUUUCUUCAAUUUAUAGUACAUAAAGCUUCUAUAGAACUGAUGCUGUAUAAUGAUGCCAAGAAAAUAAGACUGAUUCAAACCCAGAUUUUUUUUUUGUAUAUAGUGAACAUUUCAAUACAGUGCCUUUUUAUAAACCUGUGAUUCAACUUUCAUAUUCCUCCACUCACUCAUUCUGAAGAUCGUAAGCCUUUCCUUGUUGGAUCUGGAAUUCAUACCAAUUUUCUUACAGACCUGGAAAUUCCAAACAUACUAUUGUCGUUACACCUCAUCUGUCAUCCUAGGGAAUGCCUUAAUUUAUUCUUGUAAUUUGGAGAAAUGAGGUGAUGGUAGAAAGAGCUCAGAAUAAUGGAAAGAAGGUGUUGGCUUCACAGAACUAGCAAUUCCUUUCUUAGUUCCUUAGUUCAUUUCCUUUACAUGUUGGUAAGGGUUAGUUAUUAAUGGAAGCCCCCUAUACUACAACAUGCAGCAUUCACUCAACAAGUAUUUACUGAGCAUAUACAAUGUGCCAUAUACUGAGCCAAGCACUAAGGACAGUGUUUAAAAAAUAGAGCUAGUCCUUGCUCUUAUGAAGCCUACAACCUGAUGGGACAAAUAUAAACAAGUCCACAUCCUACUGCUGCUUCUCACAUGUGACAAGAAGCUGGGCUUUUCACUUGAAAGUUACCUACAUGAACAAUAUAACUUUGUUUGCCCCAUCUUCGGUUUACUUCAUGUACUCCUAUGCUUACAUGUCUUUGCAUACUGAAGUAUUUAAUCCACUUCUGAUGGAUAUAAGAGGAUAGAAGGAAUUAAAAUAAUAAAUACUGGCAAGCUUGCUGUAAAAUGCCAGAUGUGCAAACGGUUAUGGAAAUCACCAAACAGUAAAACACGGAGUCAAUCUGUAGCACUGAAGAGAUGCCAUAGCUGCAUUGGCAAAGAUAUACUUUCUAAAGUGAAUAAUAAGUACUAGAUUGAUGGCCCAGAGGGUAGGUACUAUAGGAACUUAGAAAAGGAAGCAUUACUUCCUGAAGGUGUGGGCUUUGUACAGUGCCUCAAAGGAUGGGUUGCAUAUGAAUGGGUAGAGGAGAUAGAUUGUGUCAUAGGGGAGGCUGAGUUAGUGACAGCCAAGGAGAGAAACCCAACGCAAACUGACUUGUGCAGAAAGAGUGGUCCUAGGGCUUCAGGCAUGGCUAGAGCCAUGGGGUCCUAAAAUUUCAGUUGAUUCCUCUUUCUCCCUUCAUCACCUGGCUCUGCUUUCCUCUACACUGGUUUCAGUCUCAGCCUGACUGCACACAGGUAGCCCCUUGCAUCUUCUGGCUUACAUCCUACUCCCUAACUACCCCAACACAAAAGAUAAGCUCUCUUUCUCAACAGUUCUAAAAACACUCCUGUGAUCCCCUGAUUGGACCAAUUUAUAUCACUUUCCUAUCCCUGAGGCAAUCACUGUAGCUGGGAGGACAGAAUUCAUUGAUUGGCCAGGUCUGGGCUAUGUGCCCACCCGUAGAACAGAGGCAGGUGAGGUCAGCUCCAUCUAAGCCAUGUCAGAACAAGAUCAGCUCCCCAGAGAAAAAAACUGUAAUGAGGUCACCAGAAAAAUAACAACUACAACAAUCAUCAUCAUUGCAAACACUCUAAAAUAAAGAACUCACUAUGUACCAGGUACUAUUCUAAAUAACUUUUACAUAUUACUUAUUUGCUCUUAAUACCUCUGUGAGGUAGAUAAUCGUAUUAUCCCCAUUUUCAACUGAGACAUGGACCAGUAAAUGGCAGACCAGAGAGUUAAUCCAGGCCAUCCCACUGCCAAGUCCAUGGUCUUAUCCACUGUGUUUACACUAAAAUUGACUUCUCUACACUCGGAAAAGAACUAGCUAACUAGUUCAAACUAACUAGCACUCAGACUCAGAAAUGAGCAAAGUAUAUUUGGAGAACAAUGAGAAGGCCAGCAAUUCAGAAAGAUGGAAAUUUUAGUCUCUUCUGAUGGCCAGGAAAACCAUAUCCAGAAAGCUGGUAGACAGCUAGUGCUUAUCUUCACCAGGUGGUGAAGUUUUGAUCAGACCCAGGAAACCACCAGCUGAACUUCCAGGGAGAACAAAACAGUCACCGCAGAAACCUGAAUCAUUCCCCAAAGGCCACCCCAGUCCAAUCCUCUUGACAGCUUAUGGUUUGCACUUUUACACAAUUUACCAGGAACUGAUUUUAUAGCGAUGCCUGAUCCUCUUUUUCUCUCCUGCUUUGAAACAUCAUUCAUGGAACAUAUAUAAAUCUUAGUUAAAACUAACAAUGCAUUUAAAAACACACACACAAUCAAACGAUUGCCGGUUUGGCAUUGAGAAGCAGCAGACCCAGGCUUGAGCCUGUUUACUGUGCAUUUCCUGAUACAGAGAAAAGCAAGUACAGUUGAGAAAACACCACAAAGCAUUAUAUAGCAACAGCUCGUGUGCUUCAGAAGAGAAAUGGAUACAUUAGGAAAAGUUUUUUUCCCUUUGAUGUAGAAUAUGCUAUCUUUUUAAAUGGGAGUUAACUUAACAUAAAUAAAAUUCAGCCCGUAGGCUUCAGAAAACUAAUGUUGUAUUUGACAGUGUCAUUUCUGUGAUCCUGAAAGCAUUUGGGGAGUUAACUUGGGCCUUCAUCAUGACUUUCCUUCAUGGCAUGGAAAGCACAUUAUUUUUUUAAACUCUGUUUUAUUGAUUUCCCCUUACUUUCUCCCACAUGUUCCCUUUGCCAGCGGUUAUCUCUGCCCCUUCUGCUCUCCCACAUGCUGUGAGGGCAGGUGGGGUUUCUCCUGUGUCUUUGCCUGCAGGUGGUCCAAGCGCCGCUGCCCUCUUGCUCCAUCCUUGUUUGAAAACCUCUUCCUGUAUGGUCUUUGAAAAGAAGAUAAGCCAAAGGCCCUGGACCUACCUUCAAGAAGAGAUCAGAAAAAGCCUUCUGUUCCUACGCUGAACCAUUUGCAGAAUGUGCAAUUUGCAGUUAGCAUUUUUUUUUUUUAGAGACGGGUCUUGCUAUGUUGCCCAGGCUGGUCUCGAACUCCUGAGCUCAAGCAAUCUGCCCUCCUCAGCCUCCCAAAGGGCUAGGAUUACAGGUGUGGGCCACCACGCCCAGCUUGCAGUUAAUACAUUUUUAGUUGAACUUGGAGAUGUUCCCCCUCCUUUCAGGACACAGAGUGUAUGAGCCUGGUAGAUGGACAAAACUGUUUUGUUUGCUUUUGUGCUUUUUAUUUCCAUAAAAGAGCCCUGAAUAGUCAAAUACCAGGUGAUUUGACACCCCCACCACCCAACCGCCAUCCAAGAUUUGGAAGUCUUUUUUCUUUAAACAAAAUUAAUAGGCCGGGUGUGGUGGCUCACACCUGUAAUCCCAGCACUUUGGGAGGCCGAAGUGGGUGGACCACCUGAAGUCAGGAGUUCGAGACCAGCUUGGCCAACAUGGCAAAACCCCAUCUCUACUAAAAAUACAAAAAAUUAGCCGCUUGUGGUGGUGGACGCCUGUAAUACCAGCUACUCGGGAGCGUGAGGCAGGAGAAUCACUUGAACCCAGGAGGCAGAGGUUGCAGUGAGCUGAGGUCGCGUCAUUGCACUCCAGCAUGCGCAACAAGAGCAAAACUCCAUCUCAAAAAAAAAUAAUUUUAUGUAAAUGCAUAUGUAGAAACUUGAAAUACAGUGUGCUUUGCAACGUGGGACGAAACAUUGGUAACAAGUAUUUUUUACCAUAAGUGUCCAUUUUGACCAUUUUUAGUGUUUUAGGAAUUGCUUUUGAAACUGAUUAUAUUUGAAACAUAUAAGACUACAAUUGGAGAAUCCUUGAUAUUAAAAAGUUGCCAUGA
rnacentral:lncRNA from 1 species